CCUACGGGAGGCUGCAGUGGGGGAUAUUGCACAAUGGGGGAAACCCUGAUGCAGCGACGCCGCGUGGGCGAAGAAGUAUUUCGGUAUGUAAAGCCCUAUCAGCAGGGAAGAAGAAAUGACGGUACCUGAGUAAGAAGCACCGGCUAAAUAUGUGCCAGCAGCCGCGGUAAUACGGAGGGUGCAAGCGUUAUCCGGAUUUACUGGGUGUAAAGGGAGCGCAGGCGGCACGGCAAGCCUGAUGUGAAAGCCCGCGGCCCAACCGCGGGACGGCAGUGGGAACUACCGGGCUGGAGUGCCGGAGAGGUAGGGGGAAUGCGUGGUGUAGCGGUGAAAUGCGUAGAGAGCAGGAGGAACACCGGUGGCGAAGGCGGCCUGCUGGACUGCAACGGACGUUGAGGCCCGAAAGCGUGGGGAGCAAACAGGAUUAGAUACCCGGGUAGUG
rnacentral:rRNA from 1 species